AAUCAAACUCUUGGCUUAUUUUUUUACCUUAAUAGUUAUCUUUAUUUGCCUAAAAUUGUGUCUUGAAUGCGUUUUGAAAUUGUAAGUGAACAUAAGGGAAUAACCUAAUGAGAUUUGAAUAGCUUCUGUGUAUCAGAAAAGUGUAUUAUAUGUACUUUUAUAGCAGAGUUAUUAAAUAUUACAGACUAUUGUUUACAGGGUAAGUUACCAUCAAAUCAAACUGUAGACAACCCUGUAAUGUUAACGGAAAUCCAUUUCAUCUUUAAAGAGCUUACAGCAGGGACUCUUUUCCAUUGCCUUCAUUUCUUCCUGUCAUCUAACUGUGUUGUGAUUUAAUUUUAAUUUCUACAUUCAUUUCCAUUUAUGUUAGAGAGAUCAACCAGCUUUCACUCCUGGUGGAGUAUUAACCCCUCAUGCCUUGGGUUCAAGAAAUUCACCAGGUUCUCAAGUAGCCAGUAAUCCGAGACAAGCAGCCUAUGAAAUGAGGAUGCAGAAUAAUUCUAGUCCUUCAGUAUCUCCUAAUACGAGUUUCACUUCUGAUGGCUCCCCGACUCCGAUAGGAGGAAUUAAGCAAAAAGCAGAAGACAGUGACAGUGAACCUGAACCAGAGGAUAACGUCAGGCUUUGGGAAGCUGGUUGGAAGCAGCGGUACUACAAGAACAAAUUUGACGUUGAUGCAGCUGAUGACAAAUUCCGUUGUAAAAUUGUACAGUCUUACGUUGAAGGGCUCUGCUGGGUUCUUCGAUAUUAUUACCUGGUACAAAAUGAA